rnacentral:tRNA from 1 species
GGGGGUGUAGUUCAGGGGUAGAGCGUUCGCUUCGCAUCCUCUCUUGUAUGCGAAAGGCCCUGGGUUCGAUUCCCAGCUCCUCCA